rnacentral:rRNA from 1 species
UACGUAGGGGGCUAGCGUUGUUCGGAAUUACUGGGCGUAAAGGGCGCGUAGGCGGCCUUCUAAGUCAGACGUGAAAUCCCCCGGCUUAACCUGGGAACUGCGUCUGAUACUGGGAGGCUAGAGUAUGGGAGAGGGAUGUAGAAUUCCAGGUGUAGCGGUGAAAUGCGUAGAUAUCUGGAGGAAUACCGGUGGCGAAGGCGGCAUCCUGGACCAUUACUGACGCUGAGGCGCGAAAGCUAGGGGAGCAAACGGGG